UUUAUCGAUCACCCUACACCAGUUAUCCGGUUGGUGGUAAGAAUACAUAUUGCUUACCAUUUUCCGGUGCGGACAGGUCAGUCGUGAUGAGGUCUCAGCGAUUGAUGUUCGAAGAGGAAAAAAAAGGCUCCAGUUCAAAUACGAAACUACUUCACCGUAAAAUCUUUUUUGGAAGUUCUAGUGUUAUUCAUAACAGCAGGACUGUUCGCACUACUGACUAGAUUCGCAUUCGGCAUACAAUUAUUGCUAACGUAUCCAAAAUUAUUUUCCUUUGCAGCCGCUAGCCAUGAAGGACCUCCUGAGCAGAAAAUGAACAACACUCAAUUCAUAUUUCUAUUCAAAGGCAACGGUUGGAAUGAAAGAUCAUCUGAUUCUAAAGUCAUACCGAAUGGUGAACCGGU